GUGCUUGCUUCGGCAGCACAUAUACUAAAACUGGAACAAUGCAGAGAAGAUUAGCAUGACCCCCACGCAAGGAUGCCAUGCAAAUUUGUUAAGUGUUCCAUAUUUAA